rnacentral:rRNA from 1 species
UACGGAGGGUGCAAACGUUGCUCGGAAUCAUUGGGCGUAAAGCGCACGUAGGCGGCCCUGAUAAGUCGGGUGUGAAAGCCCUGGGCUCAACCCAGGAAGUGCACUCGAAACUGUCAGGCUUGAAUAUGGAAGAGGGUCGCGGAAUUCCCGGUGUAGAGGUGAAAUUCGUAGAUAUCGGGAGGAACACCAGUGGCGAAGGCGGCGCCUGGGC